GGCUCGUUAGCUCAGUUGGUAGAGCAGUUGACUUUUAAUCAAUUGGUCGCAGGUUCGAAUCCUGCACGACCCACCA
rnacentral:tRNA from 2 species